rnacentral:rRNA from 1 species
AUACAGAGGGUGCGAGCGUUAAUGGGAAUUACUGGGCGUAAAGCGCGCGUAGGCGGUCUAUUAAGUCAGAUGUGAAAUCCCAGGGCUCAACCUUGGAACUGCAUCUGAUACUGGUAGACUAGAGUUUUGGAGAGGGAAGUAGAAUUUCAGGUGUAGCGGUGAAAUGCAUAGAGAUCUGAAGGAAUACCAGUGGCGAAGGCGGCUUCCUGGCCUAAAACUGACGCUGAGGUGCGAAAGCGUGGGUAGCAAACGGGAUUAGAAACCCCGGUAGUCC